UGAGGAAUAUUGGUCAAUGGGCGAGAGCCUGAACCAGCCAAGUAGCGUGAAGGAUGAAGGCCCUAUGGGUCGUAAACUUCUUUUAUAUGAGAAUAAAGUGAGGCACGUGUGCCUUUUUGUAUGUAUCAUAUGAAUAAGGACCGGCUAACUCCGUGCCAGCAGCCGCGGUAAUACGGAGGAUCCGAGCGUUAUCCGGAUUUAUUGGGUUUAAAGGGAGCGUAGGUGGAUAUAUAAGUCGGUUGUGAAAGUUUGCGGCUCAACCGUAAAAUUGCAGUUGAUACUGUAUAUCUUGAGUACAGUAGAGGUGGGCGGAAUUCGUGGUGUAGCGGUGAAAUGCUUAGAUAUCACGAAGAACUCCGAUUGCGAAGGCAGCUCACUGGACUGUCACUGACACUGAGGCUCGAAAGUGUGGGUAUCAAACAGG
rnacentral:rRNA from 1 species